rnacentral:lncRNA from 1 species
CCAUCAGCAGAAGUUGCUGCUGUUGUUGCUGCUGAAUUUGCUGGUUUCGAAUUUCUCCCACAUCCUCCUCCUGCUGCUGCUGGUUCUGGAGAUUGGUGAUGGCUGAAAGCUGGGGUCAUGUCAUUGGUAAAGUAAGCAACGGAAAACGAAGAUAGUGAAAAGAAUCAUUAUUUUACUUUAUUUGUUAGAGGUGGCUUUUUUUAAUAGAGUAGUUACCUCGUAUUCGUUCCUAUAUAAAGGAAGAUAUCUUACCUCGUUCUCCAUCAUCAGAUUUUCUGGUGGGGGAGGUACUUCCUGCAAUGUGCAAAAAAGGAUCAUUUUCACGUCGGUAAAUAGAAGCCCCAAGCAAGUGCAUCAACGUUACUACUUUAUCAAGCAACAAGGUAUAGAUAGCACUUUUGAGGUAUGUCAUUUGCUUUCUGGUUUUGAUUCGGGAAAUAGGCUGGUAUAACUUUUCAUUGAAUACUAUCAACCUUUUCUACCUUUUAGCAUUGAAAUAGCAACUUAGGCACAACAUGCAAGCGAAUAACUUCAGUAGUUCAGAGUACUAUUUCGAAGAGCUCUAGUACACCCGUACUGCAAUUUCACUUGUUUUUUCCUGCUUCUUUACUUUUCAUAAUCAAUGCAACAGUAUUAGCCUACGCAGAAAGAUAACCCCAAAUCAUGUCUCUCUCUUGUUUCAUUCCUUACCUUACAUCCAUGGAGUAGGAUUAGUAAAGCCACUAAAAAUCCUUACCCCACGUAUUUCCCCUCCCCACACACACAAUAACUAAGGUAACAUCCUAAAGGAAAAAGGCUUGAGCCCCCUUCUCUUUUCCAGUCCAUUCACAGAUUAGGUUCCAGGCAGGCUGCCUGACUAGUUUUUCCUGCGAACACAUCUUUGAACCUAGGCACUCACUAAAUUUAGUAAUUGGCGGAUUCAGCAACGAUAGACCAACACUACAUGCAAGCAUUUACAUGGGGCUGGCUCAAAAUCAACUGCUGCUGAGCAGCACUGCAGCAGUACAUCCUUUUUCUGGGAAAUAAGCAACACGCUUCACACAGAGGGGCCUAUCAUAUUAAACUUGGUUUUAUCACUACAGACUCCUCCUAUCUCAUGUCAAUUGCCAAUUUCCAUCUUUCAUGGGAACAACCAAGACAAAAAGACUGGCAAGUAUGUCUCCUGGAGCAGACGAGAGGCAAUCACUUCGAUAAUCAUGAAAAUCAAAGCAAAACAGCUCAUAUACCUGCUGCUGGUAAAGGGUCGUGACAGCU